AAUGCCUGAAAGCAGCUUUGCAAACAUGACCUUUAAGGAGCCAAAAUCUCCAGGUAUUUGAAUAGACGUUUCAUAUUGAAUCGCGAGGAUUUGCAGAUUGCUCUUCUAAUCUUCAGUUUCUUUCCAGCGGCUUCAAAGUCUUACGCAGAGAUGGAAUUAGACCUGCCGCUUUCACCAUGUAAUCUUGCUCUGUGUCUACCUGACCUGUUUAUAUCCAGCAGAGAGCUGUCAGCUGAAAUACUCUCGCCAGUUUAUAAGCACCAUUUCUUGUCAGAGAACGAUUGUGAAAAGAUGGAAAAAGUUGUUUGGAAGGCAGAAAAACAACACCAGGAUGUGGCUCGAUUUUUAUUUGCUGAACCACAGGUAGGGAAGCCAUUGGUCCAAAUUCAGCCGCUUCCAGAGCUUCUCACACUACUGAAUGUGGAGAUGGAAACUGUUGCAGAACUCAAAGACAGUAUAGUAAAAUUACAGUUCAACAACAUUACACCAGUUAAACCUGAAAACCUCUCAAAAAAUACUGAGAUGUCCAAAAAUGAAUGCAAAAGCACUGUUGGAGCGUCAUUCAUGGAUGAAAGAUUCUCAACGUUGCCUAUUGUGAAAAUAGAUGGUAAGAUUGUUAACUAUGCAUUUAAUGUAUGG
rnacentral:lncRNA from 1 species